AUUGAACGCUGGCGGCAGGCAUAACACAUGCAAGUCGAACGAAUGGCGGACGGGUGAGUAAUGUCUGGGAAAAUGCCUGAUGGAUGGGGAUAACUACUGGCAACGGUAGCUAAUACCGCAUACCAUCGGAUGUGCCCAGAUGGGAUUAGCUAGUAGGGGGGGUAAAGGCUCACCUAGGCGACGAUACCUAGCUGGGCUGAGAGGAUGACCAGCCACACGUGAACUGAGACACGGUCCAUACGCCUACGGUAGGCGGCAGUGGGGAAUAUUGCCCAAUGGGCGCAAGCCUGAUGCAGCCAUGCCGCGUGUAUUAAGAAGGCCUUCGGGUUGUAAAGUACUUUAAGCGUGGAGGCGUUACCCGCAGAAGAAGCACCGACUAACUCCGUGCCAGCAGCCGCGGUAAUUC
rnacentral:rRNA from 1 species